rnacentral:rRNA from 1 species
GGCGAUUGAGAGUUUGAUCCUGGCUCAGAACGAACGCUGGCGGCAGGCUUAACACAUGCAAGUCGAACGGGCGUAGCAAUACGUCAGUGGCAGACGGGUGAGUAACGCGUGGGAACGUACCUUUUGGUUCGGAACAACACAGGGAAACUUGUGCUAAUACCGGAUAAGCCCUUACGGGGAAAGAUUUAUCGCCGAAAGAUCGGCCCGCGUCUGAUUAGCUUGUUGGUGAGGUAACGGCUCACCAAGGCGACGAUCAGUAGCUGGUCUGAGAGGAUGAUCAGCCACAUUGGGACUGAGACACGGCCCAAACUCCUACGGGAGGCAGCAGUGGGGAAUAUUGGACAAUGGGCGAAAGCCUGAUCCAGCCAUGCCGCGUGAGUGAUGAAGGCCCUAGGGUUGUAAAGCUCUUUUGUGCGGGAAGAUAAUGACGGUACCGCAAGAAUAAGCCCCGGCUAACUUCGUGCCAGCAGCCGCGGU